GCCUCAGCCUCUUGAGUAGCUAGGACUAUAGUUGAGAAGCCUGAGCCUCAGAGGGUAAGUGACUCCUCUCAUUUAUGCCGCUGGCGUCUGGUGAGGCUUGGUCUCAGCAUUCAGAUUUUGGCCCUUACAAACAGUGCUGUUGUGAACGUUGUGCCUGCCUGUCUUCUGGCUGGACAUAGCCUGUGCAUCAGACACUGUUCUGUUUCAUGGAUUAUCUCAUUCAGUCUUCACAGCAGCCACAUCAGGUGAG